UAUAGAUAUGGGAAACACUCUAUUCUACAUAAUUGAAAACUUUUGAUGAAAUCUCAACAAAAACUUAAUUUAAAUUUUGUUGGAUUUUGGCUGGUAUCGUAGAACACUGAGGACUUACAUUGUUGUUGUUGUUUCAUUUCCAGUAUGCCUAUUUAUACAAAAUAAACACAAAAAAUACAAAUCGAAGAAGUUACUCAACCCUCUAGUGUAUGAAUUAUUGUCAAUAAUAUAUUUUUUAUUCUAAAGUUUUUUACACAUGAACUAAAACACAUCCAGAAAGGAUCAGCCUAUCCUUUUAUAUCCAUUUAACAAUUGGUUCUUGGUCACUUUUUGACUUUUGUCCCUACGGUCACCGGGUUGCCUGCAUGUGACACACCUGGACAUAUGCAUAUCGUUGGAAAGGUCUUGAAGUGAGCUAUCGAAAGGUGCCAUUGGUGCCGCCAAUCAUUCAACGUGCUUACUAUUCAGGACAAAUUGAGAGAAUUAUUGGUAAAAACAUUGGCAUUUGAUGGUGCAAAAUUGGCAUCAAACUCCCCAAUUAAAGGAUAUCUAUGGAGUCCGCAUCGAGAAUUGCAACAAACGGUACGUGACUAUGUAUUCCUUUUUCCAAUCAGAAGUGUAGUCGAUCAGGACGUAAGCUCAAGAAACGAAGAAGCGUGCCAGAACGUUAAUCAAAAGACCGUUUGCCCCAACUGUAAACCGGUCGACGAUGGCGUUUUUCACGAUCCAAUUCAAUGGACAGGCAGAGUUCAUCGUACUUACAAAAAGAAACAUCCAGAAACAAAUCCAAAUCCACAACCAAGACGAAAGAAGAAUAAAUACGAAAAGCUGGAACCCAAGUUUUGUCAACCAAUUUUCAUAAUGGUCAAAUGGAAACAAUUAUUACCAAAUUACAAUCGAAAAUGCACUCGAAAAGGAAACUUCGAGUUGAUCGGUCAAAACUGUUGGCACCAUUGAAUUCCUCGGUCCGAAUUUUGUAAGAUCAGUCAUAAAAAUAAAUCCCCGAAAAGCAAUCCCAAAAAACAUUCACUUUUAAAAAAAAUGAAAAAAGGUUGAUCGCUCCACUUCAGACGUUUUGUAAUUUUGACCAACCUACGAUUUUAUGGGUUCUUAAAAUUGGCUUAAGGUCCAUUUUCCAAGGCGGCGAUUACAAUCGUGUACGAUUUAUUAUUUGUGGUUUUUUUGACGCCCGAUUUGAAAAAAGGUACCGGAGUAAAAUUGGACGGUUUUUCGAUUAAUAGAAGAAAAAUGUGGGUAUUAUGGUAAAAAUGACGAUUUUCUUCGAUUUUUCCUAAUUUUUUGUCAGUUUUACUCAAAGUAAU